ACCAUUGUUUUUGUUUUAAAAAUGCGCCUUUCAAAUCAAAUUUAUAUUUGUAAUUAAAUUGUGUUCUAAUCUAUUCAUAAAUAUAUAUUAAUCAUAUCAAGUUAACAGUUUCAGCAACAACAUCUGUUUUAGUGUUAAAUAUAAACACGUUUAGUAAUCGUUGUAUCUCUUUUGAUUAGUUGGUCAAUCGUUUAUUGGCAAGCAAAGUGUAUAUGUAACCAGAAGAAGGCAUAACAACUCAUAUGCAUCUUCACAUUCAUCAUCUUCAACAUCAUCAUGGUGGUGAUUAUUUGAUUUAAAACAUGAAUAACAAGAAAGAAAAAAGAUGCUAUUAAUUCAAAGUAAACCAAUUUUUCAUCUUUAAUCAGUAAACAACCAGAAAUGAGUUAAAUUUUUGAUACACAUUUUUUGGUUAUAUUUCAUCUUUAUCUACUUUAGGCUUAAAAUACCUAUCGAUUGAAUCAUGAUCAAGCAAGCUAAUUUGGAUGAACCACGGAAAGUAAGAGGCCAAAAAUGUAGAUAAAAAUAGUAAAUAAUAUAUCGAAUUUAACUGAAUAACUGAAUAAUCAGCUUCACUCUGUUGAUUGAACAACAGUAAACCUGCAAUCUUGAUUGUGGAUCAUCAUGAUAGGUGAAUAAACAAACCAUCAAUGAUGAUAGGUCAUCAUCAAUAUUAAACUUCCUUGGUGGAAAUAAUAAUUCGUGAUCGAUGCCUUUAGACUGAAAGAAAGACCAGCAAAGGGUAAACACGGCAGCAGCAGCAAAAACAAAACAUUGUAACUCAAUUAAAAAAUGUUGGACAUUUCUCUUCUUCUUGACCAUUUUUAUCAUCAUUAUCAUCAACAUCAACAACAUCAUCUAUCCAUUUCAUUUUUUAGCGAGAAAAGCAAAAGCAGGAGGAAAAAAAAGUUAAUUAUAGAGUCCUACCUGUGGCCUGCUUGGAUCUUUCAUGAUUAACAAUUUUGACGGUUAUAUUGUGAAUUUGGCCGGUUUUCAAUGCGUUCCCCAACCACAGUUAACAUCUUAUUUUACAAAGCCAUUGGUAGCCAUCCGCAAUCAUCCAAUCAAUAUACCAGAAUCAAUGGAAUCUCAUUACGCCGAUUUCAAGCAAUCGUAUCUUUUUGUUUAAUUGAAAGCAAAUCAUGGAAUGCCAUCAUUAGCUGUUAAUUAAAGUUAACAUGGAUUAUCAAUUUGACUUAAGGUAAUCUGAUCAAUUAUCAAUUCUUAAUUUCAUCUUGUUUCUUAAUAUAACAUGAAUUUGAUUUGGCCUACACGUUACAAAUGGUUUUGCCGGAUCAUUUCUUCCGGUUAAAUUAGUUAAAUCAAAUCAAUUUCCUUAUUUUUGGCUAUUUAAAAGAUCAAAAUCCAAGCUAUUCAAUUACUGAUGAAGCUGAUCAAAUAAUUAUCGUAAAGAAUGGACAAAUUAAAUUUUUGAAAAGAUGAAUGCCUUUCAUAAAAGGAUGAUUAUUGUACAGUUAUGAUCACCCAAUCGGAACCAAAUUUUUCCUUAAUUAUUGUUGGUUGAUGGUGAUGAUUCCAUGACAGAAGGCUCAAGCAAAACAUGAUUUCCAAGAGAAAAGAGAAACAAUUUCUAUUCAUUGGUCGUUGACAGUAUCUUCCAGGGUCUAACAAUGAAGUACAACAGGUUCUUUGAAAGGUGUACCUUGGACGAGAACGGCAAAGAUGAUGAAGAAAAAUGAAGAAGAAGAUGAAAAGGAAGAGAUGACAACCUUAGGCGAGUCUUAUUUCUACGGAUCAGUUGGCUUGAAUUGUAUUGUUAUUAUUUGACAAUGAUAAUAAUUAAUACGCAGUUUAUGGUGACGUUCAGACUCUUGUAUUGUUGAAAUGAUAAAAUUAAUAACUUAAGGUGGAUCCUUGGAUAAGAUGGUGAGGGGGACGAAAAGUGUGGAUUAUCAUUGAACAAAAGGAUCACAAUCAAGGCAGAGAAAAUUAAAUUUAUAAGAAGGCAAAUUACCAAAUUAAUAAAUCAACGGAAAGAUGAAAAGGACAUUUUUAUUAGCAACUAUCAGUGAAUUACAGGAUAAUCCAUGCAUCUAAUCAAGGUGGAGUCCACUAAUAUCCUUCACCAAAACCAGAUUGUUAAACCUUUCAUUAUUAAUAGGCGAGGAUGAAAAUUCAACUCAACGCCGUAUCAUCAUCAUCCCAACCAUUUGAUCGUAUUUGGUUAUCAUCUCUUCUCAUCACGACAAUUGUUUAUUAAAUUGAAUCACGUUGAUCACCGCCAUUUGUUUGCAGUUGACCAAAUUUGAUAACAUGAUUUGUCUAUAACUUGGCCAAUAAUAAGGCAAAUUGUUGCGGAAAUUUGAUAUGGAUGCCGCAAUUUGUUUGAAUCACACUUUUGCGUUGAGUUUAUUUCCUAUUUUCUGGUAUUCUUGGCUCAAAUUUGCUGGUUUAAUUUAAUAUCAUAUUUGGUAUCCGUAUUUAAUAACAUUUAACGACAAUCACGUACCUAAUCAACGGACAACAAGAACAAAAACAUUUUAAAAUGGACUUAAAUCAAAUUACUUUGUUUAACUGGAUUCACCACACAUUAAUAUUAGCUAAAACAAUAAUCAUCAUCUCAAUCUAAUGUCCAUUAAACUGUUUACCAAAAUUAUUUGCAACGUUAGAUUGACAAAAUGUGACAAAACCAAGGCAUCUUCAGUCUAAUCAUGUAAAUUAUUAUUAACAUCAUCAUUUAAGCCUUUCAUCCUCUUCCUAUCUAAUUAAUUAUAUUGUUGUUAAAUGCAAUUGCAAUUGACUUUUCUUGUUUUAAUUAUUGUAGUCACUACAAUUAGACAUAUCUGUACUACUAUCAUAAUGCUAUUCUUGCUAAAUCUUUUUCUGUAUUAAUUGUAAGUUAAAUGACAACUUAACUCGUAUUUCCUUUACUUUAAUAGUGCUAAUAAUACAAAUUUUCAUCUA